GCAGAUGUAGUUUAGUGGCUCGAAUAUGUCCUUGCCAAGGCUAGGACGCGGGUUCGAUUCCCGUCAUCUGCUCCA
rnacentral:tRNA from 1 species